rnacentral:rRNA from 1 species
GAUGAACGCUGGCGGCGUGCCUAAUACAUGCAAGUCGAGCGAACAGAUAAGGAGCUUGCUCCUUUGACGUUAGCGGCGGACGGGUGAGUAACACGUGGGUAACCUACCUAUAAGACUGGGAUAACUUCGGGAAACCGGAGCUAAUACCGGAUAACAUUUGGAACCGCAUGGUUCUAAAGUGAAAGAUGGUUUUGCUAUCACUUAUAGAUGGACCCGCGCCGUAUUAGCUAGUUGGUAAGGUAACGGCUUACCAAGGCAACGAUACGUAGCCGACCUGAGAGGGUGAUCGGCCACACUGGAACUGAGACACGGUCCAGACUCCUACGGGAGGCAGCAGUAGGGAAUCUUCCGCAAUGGGCGAAAGCCUGACGGAGCAACGCCGCGUGAGUGAUGAAGGGUUUCGGCUCGUAAAACUCUGUUAUUAGGGAAGAACAAAUGUGUAAGUAACUGUGGACGUCUUGACGGUACCUAAUCAGAAAGCCACGGCUAACUACGUG